rnacentral:misc_RNA from 1 species
AAUUGCAAUAUGGGUUGAUUCGUCAUCCACUGUAUUAUGAGUUGAUUCCUUAUGCAUUUGAAUACUAGUUGGUUCCUCAUCCGCUACAUUACUAGUAGGUUUGCCAUCCACCGCCUUAUGAGUUGGUUCCUCAUCCACUACAAGCUGUGCAGGUUCCUCAUCCACUGCAUUACGAGUUGUUUCCUCAUCCACUGCCUUAUGAGUUAGUUCCUUAUCCACUGCAAUAUGGGUUGGUUCCUCAUUCACUGCCUUAGGAGUUGGUUCCUCAUCCACUGCGAUAUGGGUCGGUUCCUCAUUCACUGCCAUAUGAGUUGGUUCCUCAUCCACUGCAUCACAGGUUGGUUCGUCAUCGAGAAUGAUUUUGGCCUCAAAGGAAGCCGAAUCGGGCAGUACUUCAACGAUAUCACGACUGGAACCUUCAUGAACAGUCAUCUUGUUUGCCUCCGUGUGCUGCUGCAUGCUAUGUUCCUGUCUACCUGAAGAGAAAUGCAAAACUUGGACGUCGUUAUUCUCUUUGGUUUCAGCUUGCAAUGCAACGUUAUUGGGUACUUCAACAUCAGACUCAACCAAUUCACUAACAAUUUCACCUUCACUAAUACUAUCCUCUUGGGAAACUUCCUCCUCAGAAAAAACAAUGUCCAGCUCCGAAUCAAUAGCUGAACUAGUAACGUUACUAUUCCUACCAAUAGUUUCUACUUCUACAACACCAUCAAGCUCGGAUUGAUUAGCCGGAGGAGUUAAAAUCUUAAAGUUGAUCAUCUCAAGGAGACUAACAUUAUUCCCAUCACUUGAUUCACCAUCUAAGAUAGAAUCCUCCAACAAUUCUUCACUCAUUCCAUUUGUAUGAUCAGUAUCAGAACCUUCUCCGCCUAACUCAAAUUCAUCAACACAAUCAUCAACAACAAUUUCCUCUUUCCCCAUUUGAACAUUCUUCGAAAUCUCUCCAAACCGGAAGAGUACACUUCCAUCCGAAUGCUCAGAUAUAGAAACGAUGCCGAAACCCUCAGAAACGCUACCGUCUGAGUACUCAGAGGUAGAAACAAUGCGGUAAUCCCCAGAAACGGCGUCGUGGAAGGAAGAAGAAGAAGAAGACUUUUGAGAGGAAAGGAUCUUGGAAGAAGAAGUGCGUUUGGAAGGAAUUGGAAGAGAAGGCAAGAGAAUGGGUUUAGGAGAAAGAAAAAAAGGGUGGAAGCAAGAACAGAAGCUUAAAGACCUAGCAAUAACAGCAUCAGCCAUUAAAGCUCUGCUUUUAGUUUUACAGCGAGCAGGGGCAGUGGAAGAUGAUGGAGUUUAGCUAGAGAGAGAGAAUCACAGAGCAAGUGGUGAAGGUCCGGAUAUGGCAGUGGAAGCGGG